AACAGGAUUAGAUACCCUGGCAGUCCACGCCGUAAACGAUGUCGACUUGGAGGUUGUGCCCUUGAGGCGUGGCUUCCGGAGCUAACGCGUUAAGUCGACCGCCUGGGGAGUACGGCCGCAAGGUUAAAACUCAAAUGAAUUGACGGGGGCCCGCACAAGCGGUGGAGCAUGUGGUUUAAUUCGAUGCAACGCGAAGAACCUUACCUACUCUUGACAUCCAGAGAACUUAGCAGAGAUGCUUUGGUGCCUUCGGGAACUCUGAGACAGGUGCUGCAUGGCUGUCGUCAGCUCGUGUUGUGAAAUGUUGGGUUAAGUCCCGCAACGAGCGCAACCCUUAUCCUUUGUUGCCAGCGGUUAGGCCGGGAACUCAAAGGAGACUGCCAGUGAUAAACUGGAGGAAGGUGGGGAUGACGUCAAGUCAUCAUGGCCCUUACGAGUAGGGCUACACACGUGCUACAAUGGCGCAUACAAAGAGAAGCGACCUCGCGAGAGCAAGCGGACCUCAUAAAGUGCGUCGUAGUCCGGAUUGGAGUCUGCAACUCGACUCCAUGAAGUCGGAAUCGCUAGUAAUCGUGGAUCAGAAUGCCACGGUGAAUACGUUCCCGGGCCUUGUACACACCGCCCGUCACACCAUGGGAGUGGGUUGCAAAAGAAGUAGGUAGCUUAACCUUCGGGAGGGCGCUUACCACUUUGUGAUUCAUGACUGGGGUGAAGUCGUAACAAGGUAACC
rnacentral:rRNA from 1 species